AACGAACGCUGGCGGCAGGCCUAACACAUGCAAGUCGAGCGAAGCCUUCGGGCUUAGCGGCGGACGGGUGAGUAACGCGUGGGAACGUGCCCUUUGCUACGGAAUAGCCCCGGGAAACUGGGAGUAAUACCGUAUAAGCCCUACGGGGGAAAGAUUUAUCGGCAAAGGAUCGGCCCGCGUUGGAUUAGGUAGUUGGUGGGGUAAUGGCCUACCAAGCCGACGGUCCAUAGCUGGUUUGAGAGGAUGAUCAGCCACACUGGGACUGAGACACGGCCCAGACUCCUACGGGAGGCAGCAGUGGGGAAUCUUAGACAAUGGGGGAAACCCUGAUCUAGCCAUGCCGCGUGAUCGAUGAAGGCCUUAGGGUUGUAAAGAUCUUUCAGGUGGGAAGAUAAUGACUGUACCCACAGAAGAAGCCCCGGCUAACUCCGUGCCAGCCGCCGCGGUAAAAC
rnacentral:rRNA from 1 species